rnacentral:lncRNA from 1 species
GGAGCAACUUAUCAUCUGAGUAGUAGAUUCCAGGAACCACAAUGGCAGGGCAAAAUGCAAGCUGUUCAUUUUCGGCGAAGAAGUUGUCAAUGUUCUUAUUCAAAACCAAGCGGCCAACAGGCUGCAGGGGCAAGAUGUCCUCAGGCCAGGUCUUAGUCACAUCAAGAGGGUCAAAGUCAAAUUUAUCUUCAUGGUCAGGAUCAAUUGUCUGGAUGAAGAGCUUCCACUCAGGAUAGUUGCCAGCAGCAAUUGAGUCAUAGAGAUCCUGAGUGGCAUGGCUGUGAUUAGCUCCUCCAACCUUGAUUGCCUCAUCUUCCAGCAAGCAUUUGACCCCACAAGUGGGCUUCCAGUGGAAUUUCACAUAGUGUGCUUUGCCAGCCUUGUUAAUCAGAGUGUAUGUGUUUACACCAGAACCUUCCAUGUGUCUGUAAUCUUGUGGAACACCCAAAUCAUCAAAGAGGAAAGUAAACAUAUGCAAGCUCUCAGGAUGGUGUGAGAAGAAAUCAAGGAUCCUCCAAUUCUCCUGAAUAUGGGACUUGGGGUUGGGCUUAAGAGCAUGGACCAUAUCAGGGAAUUUCAUUCCAUCACGAAUAAAGAAGACUGGGAAAUUGUUUCCCACAAGAUCAAAAUUACCCUGAGUUCAUAUAAAAAGUUCAGAACAAGAACUGAUCAACACAUUGGCAAAUAAAUAACACUUAUAAAAGUAAUGCAUAAUAAACUCAGGACUUCAUUCAUGAACUAAGACUUUCACCAAAAGAAGACAAUUAUGAAUGUAAUACAUGCAUAUGUACAUACAUUUCUUCAGAGCAUGUUUUAGCUAAUAACCGAAGUUACAAGUGCUCUAAACCUCUUUUUCCUGUACAAAUUACAACGCACCAAAGGAGCUUAGUGACAAAAGGAGGUGGCAGGUGAACUCAUACCUCUCGGGUGUAGAACUUCACUGCAAAACCACGAGGAUCCCUGAGGGUUUCAGGGCUUCCACGCUCAUGGAUGACGGUUGAAAAUCGCACGAUAACAGGGGUUUGAACUCCAGGUGCUCGCAGAAAAUCAGCACAUGUAAGGUGAGAAAUGUCAUGGGUAACCUCGAAGAAACCCUUUGCGCUUGCUCCCCUAGCAUGGACAACACGUUCUGGAAUCCGCUCCCUGUCAA